UACGUAGGGGGGCAAGCGUUGUCCGGAAUCAUUGGGCGUAAAGCGCGUGUAGGCGGCCCGGUAAGUCCGCUGUGAAAGUCGGGGGCUCAACCCUCGAAUGCCGGUGGAUACUGUCGGGCUAGAGUGCGGGAGAGGCGAGUGGAAUUCCUGGUGUAGCGGUGAAAUGCGCAGAUAUCAGGAGGAACACCAAUUGCGAAGGCAGCUCGCUGGAACGUAACUGACGCUGAGACGCGAAAGCGUGGGGAGCAAACAGG
rnacentral:rRNA from 1 species